AUGAACGCUAGCUACAGGCUUAACACAUGCAAGUCGAGGGGCAGCGGGAUUGAAGCUUGCUUCAAUUGCCGGCGACCGGCGCACGGGUGAGUAACGCGUAUCCAACCUUCCGCUUACUCGGGGAUAGCCUUUCGAAAGAAAGAUUAAUACCCGAUGGUAUCUUAAGCACGCAUGAGAUUAAGAUUAAAGAUUCAUCGGUAAGCGAUGGGGAUGCGUUCCAUUAGGCAGUUGGCGGGGUAACGGCCCACCAAACCUACGAUGGAUAGGGGUUCUGAGAGGAAGGUCCCCCACAUUGGAACUGAGACACGGUCCAAACUCCUACGGGAGGCAGCAGUGAGGAAUAUUGGUCAAUGGGCGAGAGCCUGAACCAGCCAAGUAGCGUGAAGGAUGACGGCCCUACGGGUUGUAAACUUCUUUUGUGCGGGAAUAAAGGAGCCUACGUGUAGGCUUUUGCAUGUACCGUAACGAAUAAGCAUCGGCUAACUCCGUGCCAGCAGCCGCGGUAAUACGGAGGAUGCGAGCGUUAUCCGGAUUUAUUGGGUUUAAAGGGAGCGUAGACGGGUUUUUAAGUCAGCUGUGAAAGUUUGGGGCUCAACCUUAAAAUUGCAGUUGAAACUGGAGACCUUGAGUACGGUUGAGGCAGGCGGAAUUCGUGGUGUAGCGGUGAAAUGCUUAGAUAUCACGAAGAACCCCGAUUGCGAAGGCAGCCUGCUAAGCCGCCACUGACGUUGAGGCUCGAAAGUGCGGGUAUCAAACAGGAUUAGAUACCCUGGUAGUCCGCACGGUAAACGAUGGAUACUCGCUGUUGGCGAUAGACGGUCAGCGGCCAAGCGAAAGCGUUAAGUAUCCCACCUGGGGAGUACGCCGGCAACGGUGAAACUCAAAGGAAUUGACGGGGACCCGCACAAGCGGUGGAGCAUGUGGUUUAAUUCGAAGCAACGCGAAGAACCUUACCAGGUCUUGACAUCCUUCUGACCGCACCUUAAUCGGUGCUUUCCUUCGGGACAGAAGAGACAGGUGGUGCAUGGUUGUCGUCAGCUCGUGCCGUGAGGUGUCGGCUUAAGUGCCAUAACGAGCGCAACCCUUGCUGCCAGUUACUAACAGGUCAUGCUGAGGACUCUGGCAGGACUGCCAUCGUAAGAUGCGAGGAAGGUGGGGAUGACGUCAAAUCAGCACGGCCCUUACGUCCGGGGCUACACACGUGUUACAAUGGGGAGUACAGAGGGCAGCUACCGGGCGACCGGAUGCGAAUCCCGAAAGCUCCUCUCAGUUCGGACUGGAGUCUGCAACCCGACUCCACGAAGCUGGAUUCGCUAGUAAUCGCGCAUCAGCCACGGCGCGGUGAAUACGUUCCCGGGCCUUGUACACACCGCCCGUCAAGCCAUGAAAGCCGGGGGUACCUGAAGUACGUAACCGCGAGGAUCGUCCUAGGGUAAAACCGGUAAUUGGGGCU
rnacentral:rRNA from 1 species